AUUGAACGCUGGCGGCAUGCCUUACACAUGCAAGUCGAACGGCAGCACGGGAGCAAUCCUGGUGGCGAGUGGCGAACGGGUGAGUAAUAUAUCGGAACGUGCCCAGUCGUGGGGGAUAACGUAGCGAAAGUUACGCUAAUACCGCAUACGAUCUAAGGAUGAAAGCGGGGGACUCGCAAGAGCCUCGCGCGAUUGGAGCGGCCGAUAUCAGAUUAGGUAGUUGGUGGGGUAAAGGCUCACCAAGCCAACGAUCUGUAGCUGGUCUGAGAGGACGACCAGCCACACUGGAACUGAGACACGGUCCAGACUCCUACGGGAGGCAGCAGUGGGGAAUUUUGGACAAUGGACGCAAGUCUGAUCCAGCCAUUCCGCGUGCAGGAUGAAGGCCCUCGGGUUGUAAACUGCUUUGUACGG
rnacentral:rRNA from 1 species